AUGAUGAUACCACUAGUGUACAGUUUAUGGUUUUCAACUGAAUAAUCUUGCUGAAAAUCCUAGGGCGGUCUGAUUUC